rnacentral:tRNA from 1 species
GUAGCCAAAAAUGGACUGGCACGUGUAUGACGAUCCUGAGGCCACGGGUUCAAAUCCUGGCCUU